AGCCACACCCCCAAGGGUUUUCAGCAGUGAUAAACAUUAAGCUAUUAGUGAAAACUUGACUUAAUUAAGGCUAUUAAGGGUCGGUAAAAUUCGUGCCAGCAACCGCGGUUAUACGAAAGACCCAAGCAGACAAUACCCGGCGUAAAGAGUGGUUUAUUUAAAUUUUACUAGAGCCAAAUACCCUCAAGACUGUUAUACGUGUUCGAGAAUAUAGAAGCCCACCCACGAAAGUAGCUUUAUAAAAUAAAUACCACUAAAGCUAAGACACAAACUGGGAUUAGAUACCCCACUAUGCUUAGCCCUAAACCUAGACAACUUUUAUCUUCACCCGACUUCCGUUGUCCGCCAGGGAACUACGAGCAUAAGCUUGAAACCCAAAGGACUUGGCGGUGCUUUAGACCCACCUAGAGGAGCCUGUUCUAUAACCGAUAACCCCCGUUAAACCUCACCCUCACUU
rnacentral:rRNA from 1 species